AAAUGGGAGCCCACACACAGGGGGUCGUGUGGCUCCAUUAACCGAUUGCAACAUUGUAGCAAUCGGCAGCUAAUUGAUUUCCCGGGUGGCAAGCGACGGGAUCCAACCUUACAGCCGAAAAGCGGUGUUCGGGUAAUUGAAACUACCGAACAGGAAAGUGAAUGGCAAUUCAUAUGCAACAAAGAACCGAACACAGAGGUGAAUGAAGACAGAUUAUACUGC